GACAGAGGUGCCGAGCGUUAGGCGGAAUCACUGGGCUUAAAGCGUGUGUAGGCGGAUGCCUAAGUACCUUGUGAAAUCCCACGGCUUAACCGUGGAACUGCUUGGUAUACUGGGUGUCUUGAGCCACUUAGGGGCGACCGGAACAAACGGUGGAGCGGUGAAGUGCGUAGAUAUCGUUUGGAACGCCAAUGGUGAAAACAGGUCGCUGGGAGUGCGCUGACGCUGAGACACGAAAGCCAGGGGAGCGAACGGG
rnacentral:rRNA from 1 species